rnacentral:rRNA from 1 species
AUACAUGCAAGUCGUACGCUUCUUUUUCCACCGGAGCUUGCUCCACCGGAAAAAGAAGAGUGGCGAACGGGUGAGUAACACGUGGGUAACCUGCCCAUCAGAAGGGGAUAACACUUGGAAACAGGUGCUAAUACCGUAUAACAAUCGAAACCGCAUGGUUUUGAUUUGAAAGGCGCUUUCGGGUGUCGCUGAUGGAUGGACCCGCGGUGCAUUAGCUAGUUGGUGAGGUAACGGCUCACCAAGGCCACGAUGCAUAGCCGACCUGAGAGGGUGAUCGGCCACAUUGGGACUGAGACACGGCCCAAACUCCUACGGGAGGCAGCAGUAGGGAAUCUUCGGCAAUGGACGAAAGUCUGACCGAGCAACGCCGCGUGAGUGAAGAAGGUUUUCGGAUCGUAAAACUCUGUUGUUAGAGAAGAACAAGGAUGAGAGUAACUGUUCAUCCCUUGACGGUAUCUAACCAGAAAGCCACGGCUAACUACGUGCCAGCAGCCGCGGUAAUACGUAGGUGGCAAGCGUUGUCCGGAUUUAUUGGGCGUAAAGCGAGCGCAGGCGGUUUCUUAAGUCUGAUGUGAAAGCCCCCGGCUCAACCGGGGAGGGUCAUUGGAAACUGGGAGACUUGAGUGCAGAAGAGGAGAGUGGAAUUCCAUGUGUAGCGGUGAAAUGCGUAGAUAUAUGGAGGAACACCAGUGGCGAAGGCGGCUCUCUGGUCUGUAACUGACGCUGAG